UGAGCUUUCUAUAAAAUGGCUAAUAGCCAAAGAAUAUUUUUUAUCACUACACUCGUGAAACAAGUUUAAUUCUCGCAUAUUUAAUCCCCGUUAAUAUAAAAGUUUGUCUAUUCCGCUUCAUAUUUGAUUAAUAUUUGCCCUGUUUUGAAUAACUCAAUACAUUUGAAAGUGUUUCUUUAAAGGUUCGGUUGAGGAACGAUGAUUCGAGAGGAAUCUUGGCAAGGCCACGAACAUCGCGACGAAGUUUAGAUGGACUUUAGCGUUGAUUGCAUGGAUCACAGGAAUUCAACAUUUUUCUGCAUGCGUCAUAUACUACUAUGCCGGUGGUUAUUUAUGUCUGUCGUGGGCGUCGUGACUGAACGAAUGCGCCACUACCACAAUGUCCAUGUUUUUGGUAUAGACAGUAAAACCCCUGAAAAGGAAGUCAGAAGAAAAAGCAUGAAAGAGGAAUUGUUGCAGGAACUCACUGCAACUGUAAUCAUAAAUCAUCAAUCUAUCUCGAAUCUAUCUGUAUAGUGUUAUGUUCCUGAGAGCCAGUUUUGUUCGUGAGGGCCAAUUAUACUCUUGAUGGCGCCUAUAAUCCAGUUGAGCCUGUACUGACGUUAGACUCAUCCGUAAUCCGAAAGGAAAAACAGCCAGGUGAAGAAGCUAUACUGCCGUUAUACGCAUAACUGUCCCAUGUAUAUAGGGAAUCUCAGCAAACAUGGGACAAGUAUGCGUAUAACCGCAGUAUAGGAAGUCAUAUAAGGCUCAUAUGCAGGUUUUAUUUUUUUUUUCGUUGUCAAAAGUGUGUUUAAAUAAAAAAAUAUUACUACUUUAAUAUCAUAAUGAGAGCACAGUUUUGAAUAAGUUGUAAGUCCAAGAAAAAUACUGUUACCUGCCUUAUUUGAGAUAGCAAGGAAUGAUGUUGAGCAAAAGAUUUUUAAUUGAACUUUCAAACUUACUCAAAGUGCGUGCUU